ACCAUGCCAGUAUAUUAGAUGUUUUCGUCAGUCUUUAUCAUUAUCAUUAUCAGUGGAGCCUUGCAGCGAUAACACGCCUGAUGAUUCAUGACUUCAGAUGACUGCCGGGUGACUUCAUGCACCUCCCGUUAUGGAUCGAAAAGCCAUUUCGAGAACAAUGUUCAAUGAUGACUAAUGUUGACGACUGGUUAACCGUUGAGCAAUAUGUUUUAUAUACGUUUUAUUGAUUACGCCGUUCUUUCAUUUCAUAUAAGUGAAUUGUCUAAAGAAGUCGGUGUCUGCAGCGCGCGGCGCGGGCCCGUUAGCUGGUGCGCGGUCAUCGCUCCGAGCACCGUUCCACUCGACGGACCCCAUCAGCCCCUCCAUCCCCACAAGCCCCGUCAGCCGCGCCGAUUCUCUUACCCCUCGCACUUUCCACUUUCAUGACUAUCUCUUUGAUGAACACAUUCUUAUUAUAGGUAUUCAUUUGCAAGGGAAUUUCUAAGGCUUGAAUAACAUUCGAUUCAUAAAAUAAUAAAUGAACACAAACUUGCGAUUUGUUUUUAAUAAAAUGUGAAAAAAAAAUCAAUGAAACGAUUCGUCGUUGACAAUUAACAAGAAAUAAGCAACAAAAACGCGCAGCGAUCGUGACCGCGGAAACAUUUAGAAACGACAUAUCAUGUAUUUAGCGAUUAAUAGCUCCUUUCGGAGAGUCAUCGGCGGCAGAGUUCAGAGAACGAGCGGUAAGGGGCGGCCUUGUGGAGUGCAGCGGAUCAAUAAACAUACGGUUUGGUUAAAAAUAACUUAAAAGGUAUUGACGACUCACCGAGUCCUAUCUGGCAGAAGAUGACCUCGGCCUCGAUGACGUGAGCAGACGGAGCACGCGGGGGCUGAGGCGACGGCUGCACGGCCGGCUGAGGGGUCGGCUCCUCCUGCUUCUUCUGCACCGGAUCCACGUGGGGCUGCAUAG